CCCCGUCGGCGACGCCACGCUUCCCGGUCCGCGUCUGGCCCCACCUGGAGCCAGGGCGCGGGGAAGGCUAGGGGCCGGCAAUGGGCCAGGCCUGCCCACUGUUCCGCCGCGGGGACACCCGGACGAACCUGACAUGGGACUGAGCACUGACCUUAGAGGGUAUGGAGGCCAGAGCUUCCGAGCUACCAAGGACUCCAGAUAAACUUAAACAGGGAUGAAAUUGCUACCCAUAACCUGAGAAUCGACCUGUUUCCAGGAUUUGGAGUCCAUGGGGUGAUAGCCCGAGCUCAGGCAGCCAUCUUGGACCAUGACGACUGCAAGGAUGGAGAAUCAACAAAAUAACAAAGUGGAAGGAGCUCUGUCUUUGAUGAUUGUGGAGCCACUAGCUUAGAAUUGCUUACCACCUUACUUUGUCUCAGGAAGGGAAAAACAAUUUUAUCAUGUUCAGGCCGUGGUUAUUUUGUGACUCCCUCACAUGGAACUAAACCAAACUUGGUUAAUGCAUGAGACCUUUCCAGCCGCAUUCCCCUUACACUGUUGCUCCACCAGCUCUACCAAACUACACGCAGCUGUCUCUGCUAGCAUUCCUUUGCACAGCAUCUACUGCAGGGUGAUACAGAGAGCCCAUCACCUGUCUCCCUCACUUCCUGUGAACAUCUCUGGAGCAGAGACCGUACCUUUCUUGGAUUACUGCCAAGUCAAUGUGGUUGACUUCUUUAGGGCCAGAAAAAGAGGGAUAGGGAAUGGACAUUUAUUGGAUCCCAGUUAUAUGUACUUUAUAUUUUAUUUGUCUAGCUAUUGGAACACUCUGUAAGGGGUG